CGGGUGAGUAACGCGUGGGUAACCUGCCUUGUACUGGGGGACAACAGUUAGAAAUGACUGCUAAUACCGCAUAAGCGCACAGUAUCGCAUGAUACAGUGUGAAAAACUCCGGUGGUACAAGAUGGACCCGCGUCUGAUUAGCUAGUUGGUAAGGCAACGGCUUACCAAGGCGACGAUCAGUAGCCGACCUGAGAGGGUGACCGGCCACAUUGGGACUGAGACACGGCCCAA
rnacentral:rRNA from 1 species